ACAUGUGGGGAGGAGGAGAGGAGAAAGUCAUAAACUUUAGCUGGACAUAAGCGAGGGAUCUAGUGAUGUCUCAAAUCGGCUCCACACUAGGCCGCAAACUAGGAUGGCAGCCACCCCGCAGAGAUGCUCCAGACCUGAGCAGGGUCUUCUUCAACCUAUUGUUCCUCUAAGUUUGUUUUUAUUGUUAAAUCUUCAACUCCUUUAAUAUUGUAAAAC